UACGGUAGGGUGCGAGCGUUGUCCGGAAUUAUUGGGCGUAAAGAGCUCGUAGGCGGUCUGUCGCGUCCGGAUGUGGAAAAGCCCGGGGCUUAACCCCGGGUCUGCAUUCGAUACGGGCAGACUAGAGUGUGGUAGGGGAGACUGGAAUUCCUGGUGUAGCGGUGAAAUGUGCAGAUAUCAGGAGGAACACCGGUGGCGAAGGCGGGUCUCUGGGCCGAAAUUGACGCUGAGGUGCGAAAGCGUGGGGAGCAAACAGG
rnacentral:rRNA from 1 species